rnacentral:rRNA from 1 species
AGAACGAACGCUGGCGGCAGGCCUAACACAUGCAAGUCGAACGCCCUCGCAAGAGGGAGUGGCAGACGGGUGAGUAACGCGUGGGAACAUACCUUUUGGUUCGGAACAACCCAGGGAAACUUGGGCUAAUACCGGAUAAGCCCUUACGGGGAAAGAUUUAUCGCCGAAAGAUUGGCCCGCGUCUGAUUAGCUAGUUGGUGAGGUAACGGCUCACCAAGGCGACGAUCAGUAGCUGGUCUGAGAGGAUGAUCAGCCACAUUGGGACUGAGACACGGCCCAAACUCCUACGGGAGGCAGCAGUGGGGAAUAUUGGACAAUGGGCGCAAGCCUGAUCCAGCCAUGCCGCGUGAGUGAUGAAGGCCCUAGGGUUGUAAAGCUCUUUUGUGCGGGAAGAUAAUGACGGUACCGCAAGAAUAAGCCCCGGCUAACUUCGUGCCAGCAGCCGC